AGAGCGAACGCUGGCGGCAGGCCUAACACAUGCAAGUCGAGCGCCGUAGCAAUACGGAGCGGCAGACGGGAGAGUAACACGUGGGAACGUACCUUUCAGUUCGGAACAACCCCAGGGAAACUUGGGCUAAUACCGGAUACGCCCUUACGGGGAAAGAUUUAUCGCUGAAAGAUCGGCCCGCGUCUGAUUAGCUAGUUGGUGGGGUAACGGCCCACCAAGGCUACGAUCAGUAGCUGGUCUGAGAGGAUGAUCAGCCUCACUGGGACUGAGACACGGCCCAGACUCCUACGGGAGGCAGCAGUGGGGAAUAUUGGACAAUGGGCGCAAGCCUGAUCCAGCCAUGCCGCGUGGAUGAUGAAGGCCCUAGGGUUGUAAAGUCCUUUCGGCGGGGAAGAUAAUGACGGUACCCGCAGAAGAAGCCCCGGCUAACUUCGCGCCAGCAGCCGC
rnacentral:rRNA from 1 species